ACGGAGGGUGCAAGCGUUAAUCGGAAUAACUGGGCGUAAAGGGCAUGCAGGCGGUUCAUCAAGUAGGAUGUGAAAUCCCCGGGCUCAACCUGGGAACAGCAUACUAAACUGGUGGACUAGAGUAUUGCAGGGGGAGACGGAAUUCCAGGUGUAGCGGUGGAAUGCGUAGAUAUCUGGAAGAACACCAAAGGCGAAGGCAGUCUCCUGGGCAAAUACUGACGCUCAUAUGCGAAAGCGUGGGUAGCAAACAG
rnacentral:rRNA from 1 species